UACGAAGGGGGCUAGCGUUGCUCGGAAUCACUGGGCGUAAAGGGUGCGUAGGCGGGUCUUUAAGUCAGGGGUGAAAUCCUGGAGCUCAACUCCAGAACUGCCUUUGAUACUGAGGAUCUUGAGUUCGGGAGAGGUGAGUGGAACUGCGAGUGUAGAGGUGAAAUUCGCAGAUAUCAGGAAGAACACCCGUGGCUAAGGCGGCUCUCUAGUACGGUACUGACGCUGAGACGCGAAAGCGUGGGGAGCGAACAGG
rnacentral:rRNA from 1 species